rnacentral:rRNA from 1 species
UACGUAGGGUGCAAGCGUUGUCCGGAAUUAUUGGGCGUAAAGAGCUCGUAGGCGGUCUGUCGCGUCUGCUGUGAAAACUCAGGGCUUAACCCUGAGCUUGCAGUGGGUACGGGCAGACUAGAGUGCGGUAGGGGAGACUGGAAUUCCUGGUGUAGCGGUGAAAUGCGCAGAUAUCAGGAGGAACACCGGUGGCGAAGGCGACUACCUGGCCUGUUCUUGACGCUGAGGCGCGAAAGCUAGGGGAGCAAACGGG